rnacentral:rRNA from 1 species
UGGGGAAUAUUGGACAAUGGGCGAAAGCCUGAUCCAGCCAUGCCGCGUGUGUGAAGAAGGUCUUCGGAUUGUAAAGCACUUUAAGUUGGGAGGAAGGGCAGUAAGCGAAUACCUUGCUGUUUUGACGUUACCGACAGAAUAAGCACCGGCUAACUCUGUGCCAGCAGCCGCGGUAAUACAGAGGGUGCAAGCGUUAAUCGGAAUUACUGGGCGUAAAGCGCGCGUAGGUGGUUCGUUAAGUUGAAUGUGAAAGCCCCGGGCUCAACCUGGGAACUGCAGCCAAAACUGGCGAGCUAGAGUAGGGCAGAGGGGGGUGGAAUUUCCUGUGUAGCGGUGAAAUGCGUAGAUAUAGGAAGGAACACCAGUGGCGAAGGCGACCACCUGGGCUCAUACUGACACUGAGGUGCGAAAGCGUGGGGAGCAAACAGG